CUAUAGCUUGACACUGAACAUUGAGCCUUGAUGUGUAGGAUAGGUGGGAGGCUUGGAAGUGUGGACGCCAGUCUGCAUGGAGCCGACCUUGAAAUACCACCCUUUAAUGUUUGAUGUUCUAACGUUGACCCGUAAUCCGGGUUGCGGACAGUGUCUGGUGGGUAGUUUGACUGGGGCGGUCUCCUCCUAAAGAGUAACGGAGGAGCACGAAGGUUGGCUAAUCCUGGUCGGACAUCAGGAGGUUAGUGCAAUGGCAUAAGCCAGCUUGACUGCGAGCGUGACGGCGCGAGCAGGUGCGAAAGCAGGUCAUAGUGAUCCGGUGGUUCUGAAUGGAAGGGCCAUCGCUCAACGGAUAAAAGGUACUCCGGGGAUAACAGGCUGAUACCGCCCAAGAGUUCAUAUCGACGGCGGUGUUUGGCACCUCGAUGUCGGCUCAUCACAUCCUGGGGCUGAAGUAGGUCCCAAGGGUAUGGCUGUUCGCCAUUUAAAGUGGUACGCGAGCUGGGUUUAGAACGUCGUGAGACAGUUCGGUCCCUAUCUGCCGUGGGCGCUGGAGAACUGAGGGGGGCUGCUCCUAGUACGAGAGGACCGGAGUGGACGCAUCACUGGUGUUCGGGUUGUCAUGCCAAUGGCACUGCCCGGUAGCUAAAUGCGGAAGAGAUAAGUGCUGAAAGCAUCUAAGCACGAAACUUGCCCCGAGAUGAGUUCUCCCUGACUCCUUGAGAGUCCUGAAGGAACGUUGAAGACGACGACGUUGAUAGGCCGGGUGUGUAAGCGCAGCGAUGCGUUGAGCUAACCGGUACUAAUGAACCGUGAGGCUUAACCUUACAACGCCGAAGGUGUUU
rnacentral:rRNA from 1 species